rnacentral:rRNA from 1 species
AUCUACAACCAUACCACCCUGAACACUCCCCAUCUCGUCUGAUCUCAGAAGCUAAGCAGGGUCGGUCUGGUUAGUACUUGAAUGAGAGGAAUCUCUUUGUAUAAC